GUACUCAGUUCGGACUGCAGGCUGCAACCCGCCUGCACGAAGUUGGAAUUGCUAGUAAUCGCGGAUCAGCAUGCCGCGGUGAGUACGUUCCCGGGCCUUGUACACACCGCCCGUCACACCAUGAGAGUCGGGAACACCCGAAGUCCGUAGCCUGACCGCAAGGGGGCGCGGCCGAAGGUGGGUUCGAUAAUUGGGGUGAAGUCGUAACAAGGUAAC
rnacentral:rRNA from 1 species